rnacentral:rRNA from 1 species
GUCUACAGCCAUGCCACCCUGAACAAGCCUGAUCCUGACUGAUCUCGGAAGCUAAGCAGGGUUGGGCCUGGUUAGAACUUGGAUGGGAGACCACCUAGGAAGACCAGGUGCUGUACGCA